AGUGUCUGGCAGCACUGUGUUCCUGUUAAAGCCACCAGCACAAGCACCAGACGAUGCUGAUCCAGGUGAAGGCCCCAGUGCAACAGCACAUGAUGGAGACGAUGAUGAGGAGGAGACCAUCUCUCUGGAUUCCAGAAGGCAUAAGGUAUCAUGUUAAGACUGUGAAAGUACUAUUUACUCUACAAUGGUGAGGAGUCCUCAUCAAAAUCAAAAAAUCAAAUUUCUUUUACAGGACCCAGAUGCUAUACAGUGGGAAAACCAGCCUGGCAACAUAGUGCGUAUUAAUAAAAGGACACCACAUCCUGCCAAAUUCCAGCUGCGCUAAUUGUAUUGUGUUCACAGAGCUCACAAGCUAUCAGAAAGUUGUAUGGCAACCACCUCCGGCGCCAAAUAGAACUGGCAGACAUAGACAUUCAGUACAAGAAGAAAAAGAUGGAAAAUCUUGCACUGGAGUCCGAAAUAAAAAAGAGGACAAUUAGGAAACUGGACCUUGAAAUAAAAAAACUUGAGAGGGAGCUCCAAGAAGAUGACACAGCUCAAAAUAAAAAUUAGGUAUAUUCUCGUAAAGUCAAGUGAGCCAUGACAUAUGAGCUCUUAUUGUGAGCACACAGGACGGUGGCAUCUUUCUAAGGUUUUUUUUAUUUUCCCAGCAAUCAGUACAACCAAGUCAUCGUUAUAAGGCAUCGCCCUCUUUUGCCCACCCCCCCAGCACCAGGUGUGGCCACUAGCCUAUAUGAAGGCCCAAAAUUGUGUGUUCCUUUCUGCUCUGACAAUGGCAUGCCCAUUCGUGCGAGAUGUGGUGGAUGAAGAAGCACUUGUGCUGAGGAGAGCCUUCAGGCGAGAAAGGGUCUUCAGGGACCGGUUGGACCCACUGGCCUUCCCUGAUGACCAUCUAUAUGAAAGAUACAGGUUUUCUGCAGAUGGCAUCAGGUAUCUAUGCAGA